AAGAAUCUCCAGUGGAUGACACAACACAAACACACACACCCCGCUAGACUACAAUAGCACCCCUUCCACUUUUACAUGCACAACUCGGCAACCAACCAUGCAACUCCACCUCUCUUUCCAAGCUCUGCCACUGUCAGCUCAACAGGUUCCAUCUAGAAGGAAAUGAAUGUCUAACUGUCCCUCAAGUCUGAACCUUUGGUGAAAGCAAACACUUUGGUAUGGACUGGAAGCCAAAAUCUGAAUUUGAUCAAGGAAGUUAGUUCAAAAAUUGAGGAGCCCGUGGAGAAGAAUUGGGGGCAUUUGGUGCUGACAGGAGCUCAUGGGUGGACGCCAAGAGGUAACGAUUGGAGGCAACAAAUCAUCUUCACUCAGGGAACCACAUUCGCAAAAGAAGGACUCAACUCUGGUAGAUUCAGGAAUUCAAUCCCAUUGCCUUGUAUGUUUGGGCAAGACCAGUUGCCAAGUAGUUCGUUCAAGAACAAAACUGAUGAAUAAUCUAAUUGCAAGAAGGAAGCCACAUGAAGCCCAAUCCAUUUUCAAAAGUUUAGCAGAAGAAGGACACAGGCCAACUCUUAUAACAUACACAACUCUUGUAGCUGCCUUGACCCGCCAGAGGCGUUUCAAGUCUAUUCCCUUGCUCCUCUCUGAA